rnacentral:rRNA from 1 species
CGGUGGAUGAUGUGGUUAAUUCGAUGCAACGCGAAAACCUUACCACCUUUGACAUGUACAGAAUUGCCAGAGAUGGCUAGUGCUCGAAAGAGAGCCGUAACACAGGUGCUGCAUGGCUGUCGUCAGCUCGUGUCGUGAGAUGUUGGGUUAAGUCCCGCAACGAGCGCAACCCUUGUCAUUAGUUGCUACGAAAGGGCACUCUAAUGAGACUGCCGGUGACAAACCGGAGGAAGGUGGGGAUGACGUCAAGUCCUCAUGGCCCUUAUAGGUGGGGCUACACACGUCAUACAAUGGCCGGUACAAAGGGUCGCAAACCCGCGAGGGGGAGCCAAUCCAUCAAAGCCGGUCGUAGUCCGGAUCGCAGUCUGCAACUCGACUGCGUGAAGUCGGAAUCGCUAGUAAUCGUGGAUCAGCAUGUCACGGUGAAUACGUUCCCGGGUCUU